GACGAACGCUGGCGGCGUGCCUAAUACAUGCAAGUCGAGCGCAGGAAACUGACGGAACUCUUCGGAGGGAAGGCAGUGGAAUGAGCGGCGGACGGGUGAGUAACACGUAAGGAACCUACCUCAAGGAUUGGGAUAACUCCGAGAAAUCGGAGCUAAUACCGGAUAGUUCAUCGGACCGCAUGGUCCGUUGAUGAAAGGCGCUUCGGCGUCACCUUGAGAUGGCCUUGCGGUGCAUUAGCUAGUUGGUGGGGUAACGGCUCACCAAGGCGACGAUGCAUAGCCGACCUGAGAGGGUGAUCGGCCACACUGGGACUGAGACACGGCCCAGACUCCUACGGGAGGCAGCAGUAGGGAAUCUUCCACAAUGGACGAAAGUCUGAUGGAGCAACGCCGCGUGAGUGAUGAAGGUUUUCGGAUCGUAAAACUCUGUUGUAAGGGAAGAACACGUACGAGAGGAAAUGCUCGUACCUUGACGGUACCUUACGAGAAAGCCACGGCUAACUACGUGCCAGCCGCCGCUGUAAUAC
rnacentral:rRNA from 1 species